CGAUGAAGGACGUGAAAGGCUGCGUUAAGCCUCGGGGAGUUGUCAAUUGAGCGUUGAUCCGAGGAUGUCCGAAUGGGGAAACCUGGCACCUGUUAUGGGGUGUUACCUUGCAGUGAAUUCAUAGCUGUUGUGGGGGUUACGCGGGGAAGUGAAACAUCUCAGUACCCGUAGGAGAAGAAAAUAAUAAUGAUUCUGCUAGUAGUGGCGAACGAACGUGGAUGAGGCUAAACCGUGUGCAUGUGAUACCUGGUAGGGGUUGUGUGUGCGGUGUUGUGGGCCCUGAUGAGGAUGGCUACUGACGUCCUGCCUGCGCAUUGUUGUUAGGUGAAGUGGUGUGGAAACGCCUGCCGUAGAAGGUGAUAGUCCUGUAGCUGAAGAUGAUGGUGUGUGGGUUGUUGGGUUGCCCGAGUAGCAGCGGGCUCGUGGAAUCUGCUGUGAAUCUGCCGGGACCACCCGGUAAGCCUAAAUACUCAGUGUGACCGAUAGUGGAUAGUACCGUGAGGGAAUGGUGAAAAGUACCCCGGGAGGGGAGUGAAAUAGUUCCUGAAACCAUGUGCUUACAAUCCGUCAGAGCACUUUUUGUGUGUGAUGGCGUGCCUUUUGAAGAAUGAGCCUGCGAGUCAGCGGCAUGUCGCGAGGUUAACCCGUGUGGGGUAGCCGUAGGGAAACCGAAUCCUAAUGGGGUGUUUAGUGGCAUGUCCUGGACCCGAAGCGGGGUGAUCUACCCAUGGCCAGUGUGAAGCAGCAGUAAGAUGCUGUGGAGGCGCGAACCCACGUAGGUUGAAAACUGCGGGGAUGAGCUGUGGGUAGGGGUGAAAGGCCAAUCAAACUCCGUGAUAGCUGGUUCUCCCCGAAAUGCAUUUAGGUGCAGCGUCGCAUUAGCUUGGUGGAGGUAGAGCUACUGGUUGGUUGAGCGGGACUACAAUCUUAGCAAUGUCAGCCAAACUCCGAAUGCCAUUAAUGUGUUGUGCGGCAGUGAGACUGUGGGGGAUAAGCUUCAUAGUCGAGAGGGAAACAGCCCAGAUCGCCGGUUAAGGCCCCUAAGGGUGUGCUAAGUGGAAAAGGAUGUGGGAUCGCGAAGACAGCCAGGAGGUUGGCUUAGAAGCAGCCAUCCUUGAAAGAGUGCGUAAUAGCUCACUGGUCGAGUGGUUCUGCGCCGACAAUGUAGUGGGGCUCAAGCACACCGCCGAAGCCGCGGCAAUAAUAUUUUGUUAUUGGGUAGGGGAGCGUCGUGCACGUGUUGAAGCGUUACCGUGAGGAGGCGUGGAGUGUGUGCGAGUGAGAAUGCAGGCAUGAGUAACGAAUUGGAAGGUGAGAAUCCUUCCCGCCGGAUGACUAAGGGUUCCUGGGUCAAGUUCGUCUUCCCAGGGUGAGUCGGGACCUAAGGCGAGG
rnacentral:rRNA from 1 species